rnacentral:rRNA from 1 species
AAACUUAAAUGAAUUGACGGGGAGCACACAACGGGUGGAGCUUGCGGUUUAAUUGGAUUCAACGCCGGAAAUCUUACCGGGACCGACAGCAAUAUGAAGGCCAGGCUGAAGACUUUGCCGGAUUAGCUGAGAGGUGGUGCAUGGCCGUCGUCAGUUCGUACUGUGAAGCAUCCUGUUAAGUCAGGCAACGAGCGAGACCCACGCCCACAGUUGCCAGCGUACUCUCUGGAGUGACGGGUACACUGUGGGGACCGCCGCUGCUAAAGCGGAGGAAGGAAUGGGCAACGGUAGGUCAGUAUGCCCCGAAUAUCCCGGGCUACACGCGAGCUACAAUGGUUGGUACAAUGGGUAUCUACCCCGAAAGGGGACGGGAAUCUCCUAAAACCAAUCUUAGUUCGGAUUGAGGGCUGCAACUCGCCCUCAUGAAGCUGGAAUCCGUAGUAAUCGCGUUUCAACAGAACGCGGUGAAUACGUCCCUGCUCCUU